AUGAACAGUGAUUUAACCCCAGUUUCCAGAGAAUCUGCAGUGGUAUUCUUUGAUGAUAUCUUAGUGUUCAUCAAAACAUUCCUGGAUCACCUGAAUCAUUUGGAGCAAGUUCUGAGUAUUCUGCAAGAGAAACAGUGGAAGGUUAAGUUGAGCAAAUGUGCUUUUUCCCAACAAGAAAUUUCUUAUGUGAACAACAUUAAGGGAAUAAGCACAAGCACCUGGCGGGCAGGAAGGUGGAGGAGAGCUGACCAUGUGGGUGGCGCUUGCUUGCUUCCGGUUCCAGCAGUCGGGAUAGGGCAGGCGGGCGGACAACCAUGA
rnacentral:rRNA from 1 species